AAAAUAAAACGUACCGUCAGUCUACCGAGCAAUAUCACCCGCUCGAUGGAAGAACCUCCCUACGUCGU
rnacentral:pre_miRNA from 1 species